AAUUCCGGUUCUUGGAAAGAUGGGCUUGUUUCUGAGAUCUUUACCCAAGGAAAACUCCGUCUGUUUUUGCUGAAAUCUUUAGCACUUCGUGUUUGAUGAAGACAUCUGCUUCUGGUUUCAAAUAAUCUCAUUUGGGACACCUAGGGCCAAUGCUACGCCUCAGUCCCCUUCGGUCAACAACACCCACUCGACAACUCUCAAGCCAGUAGCUGUUUGUUUUCCUGCGGUGAAACACGCGGAUAACACAUCUUUUGAGUAAAACAAUGUCAUUGUGUAGCCACUGUCAUCCUUCGAUGGAUGAGGUCAAGACACUCCUCAAAAUCGCUCUCAGGGAUAAAUUUUGUUGGUGGUUGGGAAAGCGGAGUGGGGGAAUGUUUCGCGAUUGGGAAAACAGCUCAUUUUCCCGGUUGGGCGGGGGGGUGGCUUGGACGUGCUCCUAGUGCGACGACGCAGACAAGGCGCCCAUCCGAGCCGUCCGGUCCCUUUGUCCUACACCCCACCCUGGAGGUAUGAGGAUCCGCGCAAUGCGGUUCGGAGGCGGCCGCGGCGCCCCAGAGGUGAAAGCGGAGGCGCCAGGACGCCGGUGCCGGCCUCUCAGGAUGCUAGGCGGCCACACACGAGGCAGUGCCUAAGAGAAGAAGGGCUUGGUGUUGGGAAGAGAGUAAGAAUGUGAGAACCAGCAGUUCUGUGACACAUGACACGUGAUAAUGUGGAUUGGCUGGUCCCCAUUAUCUGCAGGAUCUGAUUUUCUUCGGGAUGAACAUAUUUUGGUCCCCAGGUUUCCAAGACAAGCACAUUCUUGCCAACAUGAUCCCUGAAUAAGCUGUUCUGAGAAAUUAGAAGAACAUGCAUCUAGGAGCUAGUAGUCUAAUUUCCUUCCUUUGAGCGAUCAAGCUGCAGCCACAGUCAUUGUGAUUCUGAAGACUAAACUUUAUAGUAUUGAGGAUCAAAGUUAGAACCCCGCACUUGUGAGGAAGGCCCAGUGCCACUGAGCUAAAUCCCCAGCCCCUGAAUUUAUGAUCUUGCCUCAGCCUCCCAAAGUGCUGGGAUUACAGAUGAGGAAACUGAGGCCCAGAGAGAUCACACAGCUACUAAGUCAAGGAGCUGGGACAGGCGUGGGUGCUGAAAAGUGAUUGAUACUGAUAGUAAAAUUGAGGAAGACAUGAUGUUUUUGUAAUUUGAGAAAAAUCACUGAAGAAUAAACUAUAUGAAGUCAUUGAUGCCAAAUUCCCAGCCCCAGCCUUUGCAGCUGCCCCGCCUGGGGUUCGUCUCUAUGGGAAGGAGUCUUUGCCGUGGACAGAGGCCGUGAUGACGAAGGUCAGGCUUAGAGAUCCAGGAAGUUGAGACAUGGAAAGCAGGAGUGGAGCAAGGAGAUUCUGGAAGAGCUGCUAUUUUAUUGCCUUGACGUGUGGAUGAACUGCUUAACCUCUCUACAAUGGGUGGCAAAAAUCAUGACAUUUCACACACUCCGCCCCAGUGGAACCCAUCUUCCUCUGCUGUCUAACUGAAGAACUAGCAAUGCCUUCCAAAGCUAAAGGAAACUCCAGCUCCAUGCAACAGAGAUAAAAGAAGCUGAAGGGAGUAGACAAAUAAAAAGGUAAACCCUUUUCCUUUUGUAUUAGGUUUUGUAGAAAUGAUUUUGAAGAUUUUUUUUUUUUUGCUUCUCUUUGCUCUAUACUUUGUAUAGUCAAAGCCAAGCCAUGUUUGAAAUGUUCCCUAGAAACACACGCAUGUGACUAAAAUAGAUUCCCUGCAGAUUUACCUAAUUUUAGUGAGGGCCUGUUACAUACAAUGAACUCUGCUGGGCAAUUUCACUUACAUUUUCUCAGAUGAAGAAGUUAGACCAUAAAUGUGGUAGGGUUGGCAAAGACAUGGUGAAUGGGUAAGAACGUUUCAGGACCAUGACUGAAUGAACAUGUAUCUCCUCCUCACACCUGACCCUGGGGAAGACUCUGUG
rnacentral:lncRNA from 1 species